GACGUAGGGCGCGAGCGUUGUCCGGAAUUACUGGGCGUAAAGAGCUCGUAGGUGGUUUGUCGCGUUGUUCGUGAAAACUCACAGCUCAACUGUGGGCGUGCGGGCGAUACGGGCAGACUAGAGUACUGCAGGGGAGACUGGAAUUCCUGGUGUAGCGGUGGAAUGCGCAGAUAUCAGGAGGAACACCGGUGGCGAAGGCGGAUCUCUGGGCAGUAACUGACGCUGAGGAGCGAAAGCGUGGGGAGCGAACAGG
rnacentral:rRNA from 1 species